AUCCGACGGGUGUUCGUGUUCUUUAUGAGGCAGUGUUGGCAUUUCUCUUACACACCAGUCGGCGUGCGCCUUCUUUUGUGCGUACGCAACGUUUAUAAAUGAGGCCCCAGGUCGUAGGAUCCAGGUAACAGAGGAAUCUGCACCUUCCGGUACAGCAGGUGGCGCCAGGCACACGGUUGAGUCAGGUGGCGAUCCGCUAUUUUAAACCUGCAGAAGAAGACGACGUCGACGUGCGGGAGAGUCGCUGAAAGUCACCAGAGCUCCACUUCAACCCCUUAAAGUUCACAUCCUCAGGUGGGUGUGAAGGUGUGAAGGUGUGGACUCUGCUAUGAAUCAGGGUGAGGACCCAGAGGACGGAGUCCGUCCCUCUGAAGCUCCUCUGUGUGGGGAACAUGACAUGAGGAUCCACCAGAGACCAGGACCUGGACCUGAACCCCACUGUGUGAACAUGGAGCGUAUACGGUCUACGAGUCCUCCUCUAGACUUCAAAGAUGGUCCCUCUGUUGAUGCAAGGUCCCAUCAGCAGAGAGGAAAGUCUCCUGAACCCAGAUGUGUGUCCAUGAAGAGUGAUCAGUCUAAUCAUCGAUGGAUUGACUUCAAAGAUGAACGCCGUUCUUAUGACCCAGAGUAAGUUCUUAACAAAUGAAGAACUGUUCAGAUCCUCAGUUAUGGAUCCCAGAAAUAGUUGUGCAUUGUUUAACGUGUUGUUUCCAUGACG
ensembl:lncRNA